rnacentral:misc_RNA from 1 species
GAGCCUUAUAACGAAACUCUCAAAAUGUUAAAUUCCACAUAUGAAUGUACAUGAACAAAAUCCAAAACCGAAAUCUGCUUUUUUUUUUUUUAUAAUCCCCCUUUUCCUUCCUCCUAAUUUAAUAAAUAAAAGUAAAAAACCACCUAUACUCGAGAAAUAAAAAUUCUUGCAUGGUGUGCUUAGAUAGAAAAUUCCCAGGAUCCAACACAAAGGCCAGACACACUGUACAUCAAGGCAUGCUUGUGGACCUUAGAAAGGCACUAGCUGCUGCCACAGUUAUUUUUUAUCUACUCAUUGGAAGUUCCAUCCCCAAAAAUUUCUUCUAUGAUGUUACAUGUAGGAAGAAGAUCAACACCUUUCAUUGGAACUGUGUAAUGGGCAUCCCAAGGUUUAGCAUCACAAUGAUCCGUUAAGUACAGCUGAUCCGCAACAACACUGUAUUCAUCCCCGUUACUAGGCAAGCAUUCCCUGUCAUCACCCUUAACCCCACUCAAUUGCAAAGCAACACCAGUAUCUACGGGAUCACAAGAUUCAAACUUAUCAGCUUGGAACUCAAACGACAUGCAUGAGUCGUCUUGAACAGUGAAAUCUUCCCCACUGCUUCCUGCAUUAUUGUCAACAUGCUUAACAACAGCAUCAAGCCUGCUACCAUCGAAUGAAUUCAGAUCAUGAGCUUCUGAAACAUAAUCUACCCCGGAAUCUUCUCCAGUGGCAUCUCCACUAACAUCUCCCAGAUUCCCAUCACCAUCACCAUCACCAUCACCGUCAUCAUCGUCGUCGUCGUCAUCAUCCUCAUCAUCAUCUUCAUCAUCAUCAUCAUCAUCGUCUUCAACAAGAGUAUCCUCUCCAUGAUCUGCAUAACCAUACUGAUCAAGAGACUCAAUGUCAGACCCAUCAUCUUCAUCUGAAACUCGAACUUCGAAGGGUCCCCUAUUUAUUUCAUGCAGUUCAUCAUCAUCGCUAUCAAUCUCGAGCAAGUUGGACCUGUUCUGAGCAGCCCGCCUCCGAAGCAUGAAGAC